rnacentral:lncRNA from 1 species
CGAUCUCUUCCUCUUCGUAUAAAUACGCACAAUCCUAUUAUUUCCUUAUUGAUAUUGAUGUGAUUCUAUGAAGAUAAACUUGCAAGAGUCAAAGUUAUUUAAUAAUCUUUACAAUUUUAAAGAUUUGUCUCUUAAAAUCUUUUGCGUGCUGACUAGGAAAUCAUAUUUUUGUGAUAUAAAAAACAAGAAUUGUAUAUGUUAGGUAGGACCGCCCCUGACGAACAAGUAGGCGGUUAGUAUUGGCAACCAGGACUGGUCGCCGAUAACUCGACUCCUUAACGAGUGGUAUCGUGGACCAGGACUAGAGGACGCGAUGGCGGCUUGCGAGGUUAUAAAAGAUUUUUCUACGUGGGUAACUAAUAUCUUCAGCUCGCAAAUCAUGUUUUUAUUAUCAAUAAAAGAUACAUAAAGGCAAUCGAGCUUAACAUAUAUUCAACACUUAAAAAAUUAAAUAUAUAAAAACAUUAAUAAUACAGUCGACACUGAGCAUCAGUACAUUACAUCUAUAUUAAAAUUUUACACUUAACAAUGUAAAUGUAAUAUAACAAUACGUGUUACAUUUGUAUAUUCCUGAAUGUGAAAUUUUAACACAAAUCUAAUGUAACUGAUGUAUUAACUGGAAAAAUGAUGAUUUCAUCACGACUUUUAUCUAUGAGACAUUUAUCUCUCCGAAAAUGUUAUAUCUCUUGCAAUUCCAUCACAUUAAAUCAGAAUAAUUUAAAAUGUCUUUAAAAGGUAUGUAUUGAAAAAUGAUUAUACAUUUUAAAGUCGUACUUAAGACAAUUCAAGAUCGUCGUAAGAUUUAAUCCAGUCAGUGAAAUGAUUAUAUAAAGUCUCGAGAUCAUUAGUUGAUCUUAAAUGAAAAAUCCGGGGGACUAUAUGAAUACCUAAAACUAUACCAAUUAGCAAUAUAUAUUUCAGAUCAAAGUAUCAAUACAUUAUUUAUAUAAAUGUGAUUAGUGAAUAGUGUACGAUAUGUAUUCGCAUGUAGUCGACCUAUCUCGUAAAGUGUAAAAGGAACGGCGAAGCUGAGAUUAGUGGCCGGUGAAAGUGAAUUCAAGCCGCAAAUAUCAAAUGAAGGCGAUAUGAGCGGCGUGAAUAAAAAUAUCGAACUCCCGUUAACUUUUGCCAGCUUUCUCGACGUUUAUUCAAAUCGAAUCGAGUUAUCCCCUCGAAAUGAAUCCGACACACUCGUACCAUCCUCGACGGUUUCCGUUCGAAAUCGAAAACUUUGAAAUCUUAAAGCCCAUUUUAAGCGGUUCAGAAUCAACGUCGGAUCUUAGGACAAAAUUUCUAUUUGCGAUUUUAUAUUGAUAAAACGCAUAAAGGCGAUCAAUUUUAAAAAAUGUUCAGUAAUUAAAAUAUAUACAUAUAUAAUUGCCAGUAUACAAAGAGUAUUUGAUUUUGAAAUAAUCUUAUUUUUUAAUAAUCUCCUUUUAGCUUAUUAUACAUUUUCCCAAAUGACAGUCCAACUUCUUUAAGCCUUCAAAAAAAGUACGAUUUCUCCAAUUCUACAAAAUAAGCAUUUGUUUCAGUGAUGAUUCUUAUUUGAUGUAAAUCUUUUUUUAGCGUGCCAUUUCUUCAUGUUUGAAAAAAGAAAAGUCAUAGAAGACCAAAUUCUGGAGAAUAGAGGGUGAAGAAGGAAACAGUUCAUAGCGCAAUUCGAUAAAUUUGGCCGAAAUUUACUUUUUACUAUUAUAGCAAAAAAAAAAA